CUCUGAUUGAGUACACAAAUGGAAUGGUGGUUCAAAAUAUAUGAAGAUAUCACAAGCGAGGAAGAAGCAAAGAGCUCGCUGCUGAUGGAAGCAGUAACGGUGACUGCUGCUAAUACAAAAAGGAGAGAGAGACAGAGAAAUGCAGAACAAAGCAGAGAAGAUGAUAACAACAGAGUGACAAAAGGAAGCACGACCGAAGAAGGAGAAGAAGGUGGCAACGACGGUGAUGGAUUGAGAAAGAAGGAGACUACGUCGAGAGAGAAAGGAAGAGGAUUGAGGUGACGACGGUGGUGGAGGCCACGACGCAGUGUCACAGUCGCUUCUUUACUGAUGGAGGCGCGGGUGCUGCAAAUGCGUCGAAGCAGUUCAUUACGACAUCGUUGUACAUUGGGGAUUUGGACCCUGAGGUCGAUGAGAACCUCUACGAUUUAUUCGACCACGUUGGACAAGUGGUUUCGGAAGUUCUCCGGGUGUUGUUGCAGAACAAAAGCGACCCCUUGGAUUUUUAUGCUGAAAGAAGAGAAGAGAAAAUGCUUAGUCCACAGAUGGAGGCAUUUGGUUUAGGCAGUUACUUGAACACUCGCUGAUUUGUGUGUGAACUGCUUUGAUGACAGUUAGUACAAUUGAUUCUGGGACCAAAGCUUUUGAAUUUUUGGCCUUGCGUGAGAAUGAUGAUAGCACCACAAAUACACCAUCUAUUUCUCCUAACAAUCAUCAGGUGGUCGCACCAAAGACAAAGGUUACUACCAGGAAUCAUUAACCAAGAAGCAUUCACUUUCCGUCUUCAUUUAAUAGCAAAUCAGGUUCAUUUUUUCCAGGACAGAAAUAUUGGUAGCCUUAAUCGGCAAGGGAGCAAUAAGGACCGCUAGAUAUCUAACGUCUUCAAGGAAUAUCACAGGUUAGUACAUUGAAAUCUGCUCAUUUUCUAUGGUACUCUUAACUAUUUGUUAUAGAACGUACAUCUUUGGGUCUGAGAAUUUUUUUUCCAAAUAACACUUUGAUCUGUUUGUAGAUGCAUUCAGGAUAUAAUACAUUGAUACAAUCUAUUAAAACCGAGUUUAGAUUGUAGUUUUGCCUUUUUUGUGAGUAGUGCAGUGUAUUCAAAUACAUUGUUAAUUGAGUAGGCCAUUUUUUAUAACUGGUAUUUUGACCCAUUUCUCUACUACAGCCAGCAUGAAUGUCUGUCUUUUAUAUACGUUGCAAUGGAAACUAUAUUUUCCUUUAGGAAGUAAUUGAAGCCCAAUAAUUCUGAUCUGAAAACACUUGAUUUAUGUGAUGCAAUCUUCAGCAAAAAUAGUUCUAUUGACUUGAAUAUAAUGUUAUGAUCCUUUCAGCUCCAACUUUAUUUGUGGUGUAGAAGUAUUUUAUAUAUUUCUCUAACUAAGAAAUAGUGAAAUAGCAACCUUUAAUGCCAUCUUCAAUUUCAAGUAACUCCCUACACUGUUUCCUUCUUUUCUUUGUUUCUAAUAUCAUCAUUAAAAGUUGUUCAUUUUUUAACAUUGUUUUAUUCCAGAUUUGGAAUAUCUUAAUAAGAUUCCAUAUUUUUCAUUAUUGCAUGUUUGAUUGGUGAGAAUUGAGAAUUGAGUUAGGUCUUUUUGUGCAGUGGAACAAAAUCUCAAUUAUCUUGGAGAGUAGAAAAAUCCUUCAUCAUUAGCUUUGUGUCCAGCAACUAAGAACUGCAUAUAAGAAUAUCACUCAUGCCAUUCAUUAUGCUUCUCCUUAGUAAAGUUGCUUUCUUUUUGUUAAUGUUAAUUUAACUAUCGGUUUUCAAGUGCUCUUUGGUAUUCUCAAUUAUCUUAUUUUUGUGCAUGUAUGUAUCAUCAUAUAGUAUAUAUA